rnacentral:rRNA from 1 species
CAGUCGCCGCGGUAACACGGAGGGAGCUAGCGUUGUUCGGAAUUACUGGGCGUAAAGCGCACGUAGGCGGUUAUUCAAGUCAGAGAUGAAAGCCCGGGGCUCAACCCCGGAACUGCCUUCGAAACUAGAUGACUGGAAUCUUGGAGAGGUCAGUGGAAUUCCGAGUGUAGAGGUGAAAUUCGUAGAUAUUCGGAAGAACACCAGUGGCGAAGGCGACUGACUGGACAAGUAUUGACGCUGAGGUGCGAAAGCGUGGGGAGCAAACAGGAUUAGAUACCCCUGUAGUCCCUGUCUCUUAUAC